AUGGGGGUGGGGAGCCUCGCGUCCAUCCCAGGGCCGCAGUGCCCCAAGCCCCGCGGGCCCACGUGGCCUGGUCACCCCGCAGUCACCCAGCAGGCUGGGCACGGGCACCUCCCGGGGCGCACCCCCCCGCCCCCAGGGAAUGCACCUGCCGCAGGGUCCGGGGCGUACCCAGGAGCCUCGUACCUUCCAGCAUGGGCCAGGGCACAGGCGGGGCACAGCACCUCUCAGGGCGCCCCCCCACCCCCCCACCUCCCGGGGAUGCACCUGCCGCGGGGGGCCCGGGCCGCACCCAGGAGCCACGUACCUUCCCACACGGGAGGCGGCGGAGCAGCACCGCCCUCGGGCCGGGGCGCAGGCGGGGCACAGCACCUCUCGCCCCCACCCACCCCCCAGGAUGCACCUGCCGCAGGGCCUAGUACCUUCCCGCGUGGGCCGGGGCGCAGGCGGGGCACGGGCACCUCCCGGGGCGCCCCCCCCCUCCCGGGGGAUGCACCUGCCGCGGGCCCGGGCCGCACCCAGGAGCCUCGUACCUUCCUGCGCUGGAGGCGGCGGAGCAGCGCCGCCCUGGGUCCGGGGCGCAGGCGGGGCGGGGGGCAGCUCCCGGGGCUCCGGGCCCCCCUUGCCCCGGGGACAGGCCGGCCGGCGCCCCGGGGCCCCCGCGGAGGGCGAGUCGGGCCCCGGGCGCUGCGCGGGCGGCGGCUGCACCCAGGCGGCCCUGUGCCUCCGCAGCCUGGCGUCGGGCGCGCAGCGGGGCCGCUCGAGGUGCGGGGAGCUGCGCGGGCCGCCCGGGUCGCCGGGGCCCCUGCCGGCCCUCCCGCGGGCCUCCCCGGGGGCCUCGGGCCCGCCCGCCGACUGGGACACCAUCUCCCGGGCUCGGGGCUGCAGGUGUCAGCGGCCGCGGGGCUAGCGGACUCGGGCCUCGAACUCGCCACGCGGCCGGCGGGCCGGGGCCGGGCAGCAGCGAACCUGCGAGGGGCAACAAACAAGAAAUGGUUGGACACGCAGAGGACGGCAGUCAUUGCUUCACUCCAAAUCGUGGGAGGAAAAGAAACAAAAAACACACAGGUUUGUACUUGA
rnacentral:lncRNA from 1 species